rnacentral:rRNA from 1 species
UACGGAAGGUCCAAGCGUUAAUCGGAAUUACUGGGCGUAAAGCGCGCGUAGGUGGUUUAUUAAGUUGGGUGUGAAAGCCCCGGGCUCAACCUGGGAACUGCAUCCAAAACUGAUUCACUAGAGUACGAAAGAGGGAGGUAGAAUUCACAGUGUAGCGGUGGAAUGCGUAGAUAUUGGGAAGAAUAUCAAUGGCGAAGGCAACCUCCUGGUUCUGUACUGACACUGAGGUGCGAAAGCGUGGGUAGCGAACAGGAUUAGAUACCCUGGUAGUCCACGCCGUAAACGAUGACAACUAGCUGUUGGGAAGAUUUGCUUUUCAGUGGCGCAACUAACGUAUUAAGUUGUCCGCCUGGGGAGUACGGCCGCAAGGUUAAAACUCAAAUGAAUUGACGGGGACCCGCACAAGCGGUGGAACAUGGGGUUUAAUUCCAUGCAACGCGAAAAACCUUACCUACUCUUGACAUCCUUGAAAUCUCAGGUAAAGAGAGAGUCCCUUUUGGACUCAAGGGCCAGGGGCUGUGUGUGUGUCGUCAGCUCGCGUCGGGAGAUGUUGCGUUAAGUCGGAUAACGAGCCCAACCCUUACCCUUAUUUGCCACCGGUUAGGCCGGGAACUAUAAGGGGACUGCCGGUGAUAAACCGGAGGAAGGUGAGGAUGACGUCAAGUCAUCAUGGCCCUUACGAGUAGGGCUACACACGUGCUACAAUGGGAAGUACAGAGGGCCGCCAAAGCGCGAGCGGGAGCUAAUCUCAUAAAACUGUUCGUAGUCCGGAUCGCAGUCUGCAACUCGACUGCAUGAAGUCGGAAUCGCUAGUAAUCGCGGAUCAGCACGCCGCGGUGAAUACGUUCUCGGGUCU